ensembl:snoRNA
AUCCUUUUGUAGUUCAUAAGUGUGCUGAUUGGGUGUUCACGCUUUUGCGUGAGAUGUGCGUCCCACAAACCUUGUUAUGACAUCGGCACAUUACCCAUCUGACG